CCUACGGGUGGCAGCAGUGAGGAAUAUUGGUCAAUGGACGCGAGUCUGAACCAGCCAUGCCGCGUGAAGGAAGAAGGCUCUAUGAAUUGUAAACUUCUUUUGUCCGGGGGCAAAGGCGGAUACGUGUAUCUGUAUGAAAGUAUCGGACGAAUAAGGAUCGGCUAACUCCGUGCCAACAGCCGCGGUAAUACGGAGGAUUAGAGCGUUAUCCGGAUUUAUUGGGUUUAAAGGGUGCGCAGGCGGGGGAUAAAGUCAGCGGUAAAAUGUCGGGGCUCAACUCGGGCCUGCCGUUGAAACUGGUUUUCUAGAGUGUGAUAGCAGUAUGCGGAAUUCGUGGUGUAGCGGUGAAAUGCAUAGAUAUCACGAAGAACUCCGAUUGCGAAGGCAGCAUACC
rnacentral:rRNA from 1 species